UUGAGAGAGGGGCAGGACUUGGCUCGCUCCGUGAACAGUUCGGUCAGUGUGAGUGUUCACAGUGGCUAAGUUCCGCUCCUCAC
rnacentral:pre_miRNA from 13 species